rnacentral:rRNA from 1 species
AUUGAACGCUGGCGGCAUGCUUUACACAUGCAAGUCGAACGGCAGCGCGGGCUUCGGCCUGGCGGCGAGUGGCGAACGGGUGAGUAAUGCAUCGGAACGUGCCCAGUAGUGGGGGAUAGCCCGGCGAAAGCCGGAUUAAUACCGCAUACGACCUGAGGGUGAAAGCGGGGGACCGAAAGGCCUCGCGCUAUUGGAGCGGCCGAUGUCGGAUUAGCUAGUUGGUGGGGUAAAGGCUUACCAAGGCGACGAUCCGUAGCUGGUCUGAGAAGACGACCAGCCACACUGGGACUGAGACACGGCCCAGACUCCUACGGGAGGCAGCAGUGGGGAAUUUUGGACAAUGGGGGCAACCCUGAUCCAGCCAUGCCGCGCGCGGGAAGAAGGCCUUCGGGUUGUAAACCGCUUUUGUUCGGGAAGAAAUCCUCUGGGCUAAUACCCCGGGGGGAUGACGGUACCGGAAGAAUAAGCACCGGCUAACUACGUG